rnacentral:rRNA from 1 species
CCUACGGGGGGCAGCAGUGGGGAAUAUUGGACAAUGGGGGGAACCCUGAUCCAGCCAUGCCGCGUGUGUGAAGAAGGCCCUCGGGUUGUAAAGCACUUUCAGUGAGGAAGAACGCCUGGUGGUUAAUACCCAUCAGGAAAGACAUCACUCACAGAAGAAGCACCGGCUAACUCCGUGCCAGCAGCCGCGGUAAUACGGAGGGUGCGAGCGUUAAUCGGAAUUACUGGGCGUAAAGCGCGCGUAGGUGGCUCGAUAAGCCGGUUGUGAAAGCCCCGGGCUCAACCUGGGAACGGCAUCCGGAACUGUCAAGCUAGAGUGCAGGAGAGGAAGGUAGAAUUCCCGGUGUAGCGGUGAAAUGCGUAGAGAUCGGGAGGAAUACCAGUGGCGAAGGCGGCCUUCUGGACUGACACUGACACUGAGGUGCGAAAGCGUGGGUAGCAAACAGGAUUAGAUACCCUUGUAGUC